CGGAGGUGGCAAGCGUUACUCGGAAUCAUUGGGUGUAAAGGGCAAGUAGGUGGUCUAAUAAGUGAGGGGUGAAAUCCUGCGUUUCAAGCGCAGAACUGCCUUUCAAACUGCUAGACUUGAGGAUGGAAGAGGAAAAUGGAAUUCUCGGUGUAAGGGUGAAAUCUGUAGAUAUCGAGAAGAACACCAGCGGCGAAGGCGAUUUUCUGGACCAUUCCUGACACUAAAUUGCGAAAGCUAGGGGAGCAAACAGAAUUAGAUACUCUGGUAGUCCUAGCCGUAAACGAUGAGCACUAGGUGUUGGUCCCUCACGGGAUCAGUGCCGUAGCUAACGCAUUAAGUGCUCCACCUGGGGACUACGGUCGCAAGGCUA
rnacentral:rRNA from 1 species